GCCCGGGUCGCCUAGCCAGGAUAGGGCGCUGGCCUGCGGAGCCAGUUUUUUCAGGGGUUCAAAUCCCCUCCCGGGCG
rnacentral:tRNA from 1 species